rnacentral:rRNA from 1 species
GCAUAUCAAUAAGCGGAGGAAAAGAAACCAACAGGGAUUGCCUUAGUAGCGGCGAGUGAACCGGCAAAAGCUCAGAUUUGAAAGCCUCUUUUGGCAUUGUAUUCUGAAGCCUUGGUCCUGGGACCUGGUGCUUAAGUCUUCUGGAAAGGAGCGCCAUGGAGGGUGAUAGCCCCGUGAAGCACUAACCCCAUUGUAGGAUCUUGGCAUGGAGUCGAGUUGUUUGGGAAUGCAGCUCAAAUGGGUGGUAUGCUCCAUCUAAAGCUAAAUAUCUGCGAGAGACCGAUAGCGAACAAGUACUGUGAAGGAAAGAUGAAAAGAACUUUGAAAAGAGAGUGAAAUAGUACGUGAAAUUGUUGAAAUGGAAGGAUAGGCCGCUAACCACGCAGAGUCGUGUUUAGGGGGAGGACAAAAGCUGUAUACUUCAUCAUUCUUCGGAGUGAUGUCGUUGCGGUGCAUACUCCCACCUGGGCGCGAGGAUCUAAGACUCUGCUAAAUGGUGGUCUAUCACCCGUCUUGAAACACGGACC